AUGGAAGGGGAGACUGCCACGUUGAUGGCGCGCCGCGGCAGCAUCUACGGCAAAGAUGGCGAGGAGGAGAAGCUGCCGACGUACGACGCCGGGGGCGGCAAUCGCCACGCGGCGGCCGAGGAGGUGGACGCACGCGGUGGCCGCGAGCUCAUGGAGCGGGUGUUCAAGGCCGUGGACGACGACGGCGAGAGGUUCCUCCGCCGGCUCAGGGACCGCCUCGAUCGGGUGGGCAUGGAGCUUCCGCAGAUCGAGGUGCGGUAUGAGCACCUCUCCGUGGAGGCGGACGUCCACGUCGGCAAGCGCGCGCUGCCGACGCUCAUCAACGCUGCCAUCAACACACUCGAGGGGCUCAUAAGCAUAUUUGGUUUGUCAAACAAAAGGAGGAUUGAGAUACUCAAAGAUCUCAGUGGCAUUCUCAAGCCAUCAAGGUUGACACUUCUUCUUGGACCCCCGACAUCAGGGAAAAGCACACUUAUGCAAGCACUAACUGGGAAGCCUGAUAAAAAUCUCAAGGUAUCUGGCAAUAUCACAUAUUGUGGUCAUGACUUCUCAGAGUUCUAUCCCGAGAGAACUAGUACAUAUGUCAGCCAGUAUGAUCUACACAAUGGAGAGUUGACAGUUAGAGAGACAUUGGACUUCUCCAGACUAUGUCUAGGCACUGGUGUUAGACAUGAUACACUCUUAGAAUUAGCAAGGAGGGAGAGGAAUGCAGGCAUUAAGCCUGACCCUGAGGUUGAUGCUUUCAUGAAGGCAAUUGCAGAACAAGGAAAUGACACUAAUGUUAUCACGGAUCUUACUCUCAAGGUGCUUGGCCUUGACAUUUGUGCUGAUACUAUUGUUGGAGAUGAGAUGAGAAGAGGAAUUUCUGGCGGACAAAGAAAACGUGUAACAACUGGAGAGAUGCUAAUCGGACCUGCAAGAGCUUUGUUCAUGGAUGAAAUAUCUACAGGGCUUGAUAGUUCUAGCACAUUUCAGAUUGUCAAAUACAUCAGACAGAUGGUCCAUGUGAUGAAUUAUACAGUAAUGAUCUCUCUCCUCCAGCCUCCACCUGAGACAUACAAUCUAUUCGAUGACAUCAUUCUGCUCUCAGAAGGGUACUUAGUUUACAAUGGACCACGAGAGAACAUCCUCGAAUUCUUUGAUAGUGCUGGUUUCCGAUGUCCUGAACGGAAAGGAGUGGCCGACUUCCUUCAAGAGGUGACUUCCAGGAAAGAUCAACAGCAAUACUGGUGCUAUGAUUAUGAGAAUUAUUGUUAUGUCUCUGCCCUGGAGUUCUCUGAGCUUUUCAAGAGUUUCCAUGCUGGAAAGAAGCUCCAGAUAGAGCUUCAAAUUCCUUAUGACAAAUCUAGAAUACAUCCUGCUACAUUGGCAAUACAGAAGUAUGGAUUAUCUAAUUGGGAGUCCCUGAUGACAGUGUUGUCAAGAGAGUGGUUGUUGAUGAAGCGCAACUCCUUCCUAUACACAUUCAAGUCAUUUCAAUUGCUUGUCCUGGCAAUCGUAACCAUGACUGUGUUUCUCAGAACACAGAUGCCUCACGAGAAUUUUUCAGAUACCGUCAAAUUUAGUGGUGUUUUGACAUCCUCUUUGAUCACCAUCAUGUUCAACGGGUUUUCUGAGGUACAGAUGACAAUUAAAAAACUCCCAGUAUUCUAUAAACAAAGAGACUGCUUGUUCUUUCCAGCAUGGACCUUUGGAGUUGCAAACAUAAUCUUAAAGCUUCCUUUUUCGCUCAUGGAAACAUCAGUUUGGACAAUUGCUACAUAUUAUGUGAUAGGUUACGCACCUGCUCCAGCAAGGUUCUUUAGUGCAUUGCUAGCAUACUUUUGCACGCACCAGAUGGCUGUGGCUCUGUUCCGGCUACUAGGUGCAGUUUUACAAACGAUGGUUGUAGCCAAUACAUUUGGAAUGCUUGUGAUGCUACUGGUUUGCUUGUUCGGAGGAUUUGUCAUCCCCAGGCAUGAUAUCAAACCCUGGUGGAUCUGGGCGUACUGGAUAUCUCCCAUGAUGUAUAGCAACAAUGCUAUAUCAGUCAAUGAAUUCCUUGACAGUAGGUGGGCUAUUCCAAAUGUUGAGAGAAACAUUGGUGCACUAACAGUAGGAAAGGCUUAUCUCAAAUCCAAAGGCUACUUUACGGGUGAAUGGGGGUAUUGGCUUUCCAUUGGAGCUAUGAUAGGAUUUAUGAUUCUCUCUAACAUUCUCUACAUUUGUGCUCUUACAUUUCUGAACUCCCCUAACAGUUCAAAGGGUGUGGUUUCUGAUGGUGACACUGAAAAUAUGUUGAAAAAAGGAUCAACAAAUCAAAAACAGAUGGACCAGGUUAACUAUGGAAUAGAAGAAGCAACGGACAGAAAAACUGAGACAGGCAUGGUAUUGCCAUUCCAACCUCUUUCACUUUCUUUCAACCACAUGAACUACUAUGUCGACAUGCCCGCUGAAAUGAAGUCACGGGGAUUCAUGGAAAGCCGACUCCAACUACUAUCUGAUAUUUGUGGUGCAUUCAGACCUGGUGUUCUGACUGCCUUAGUUGGGGUUAGUGGAGCUGGAAAGACCACUCUAAUGGAUGUACUGGCAGGUAGAAAGACAAGUGGAACCAUUGAGGGGGAUAUCAGGCUUUCUGGCUACCCUAAAAUACAAGAAACUUUUGCCCGUAUCAGUGGUUAUUGUGAGCAAACUGAUAUCCAUUCACCAAAUGUUACCGUGUAUGAGUCUCUCAUUUAUUCUGCUUGGCUGCGCCUCUCCCCAGAAGUUAAUGAGAAUACCAGAAAGGCAUUUGUGGAGCAAGUGAUGGCUCUUGUUGAGCUUGACGUAAUGCGGGAUGCUAUGGUUGGUCUACCUGGUGUCAGCGGGUUAUCAACUGAACAAAGGAAAAGGCUGACAAUUGCCGUUGAACUUGUUUCAAAUCCUUCAAUUAUCUUCAUGGACGAACCAACAUCUGGCCUGGAUGCUAGAGCUGCAGCUAUUGUUAUGCGCACUGUGCAAAACACAGUUAACACAGGACGAACUGUGGUGUGCACUAUCCAUCAACCCAGUAUUGAUAUCUUCGAGUCUUUUGAUGAGCUUCUAUUGAUGAAGAGGGGAGGACGGGUAACAUAUGCUGGCAAGCUUGGUCGGCAUUCUAACAUACUAGUUAAAUACUUUGAGGCGAUUCCAGGUGUUCCAAAAAUAGAAGAAGGAUACAACCCAGCUACAUGGAUGCUCGAAGUUACCUCUCCUCUAGCCGAGGCCCGCCUGAAUGUAGACUUUGCUGAAAUUUAUGCCAAUUCUGCAUUUUACCGGAGCAAUCAAGUCCUUAUAAAGGAGAUGAGCGUUCAACAGCCAGGCAGCCAGGAUAUGUCAUUUCCUAUAAAAUAUUCGCAGAAUUUCCCAAAUCAGUGCAUGGCAAAUGCUUGGAAGCAAUUUAGAUCCUACUGGAAGUUUCCACCCUAUAACGCUAUGCGGUAUCUGAUGACGGUUCUCUAUGCUGUUUUGUUUGGUACAGUCUUUUGGGGCAAGGGAAAGAAUGUAGAGUCCGUGCAGGAUAUGUACAGUCUACUUGGAGCAAUCUAUGCUGCUGUUUUCUUCCUUGGAGCUUCUACUGUGUUCUCAGUUCUGCCAGUUGUGUCUACCGAGAGGACAGUUUUCUACCGUGAAAAGGCAGCAGGGAUGUACUCUCCCCUGUCUUACGCAUUUGCACAGGCACUUGUCGAGUUCGUGUACAGUGCAGCUCAGGGUGUUCUAUAUACCGUUCUCUUCUACGGCAUGGUUGGCUUCGAGUGGAAGGCAGACAAGUUGCUCUACUUCACAUUCUUUCUUGCCGCAUGCUUCGUCUACAUCACAUUGUAUGGCAUGAUGCUUAUUGCAUGCACUCCCUCCUACCUUCUCGCGACCGUUCUUGUUUCGUUCACUAUAAUGCAGUGGAACAUUUUUGCUGGGUUCCUCAUAUCCCGACCGAUGAUACCUGUUUGGUGGAGAUGGUUCUACUGGGCUGACCCGGUUUCCUGGACCAUCUACGGUGUCAUCGCGUCGCAGUUUGGCGAUGACGACCGCAUUUUGACCGCCCCUGGCCAAACUGGUGGCGUGGUGGUGAAGGAUUUCUUGAAUGAUAAGCUGGGCUACAGGCACGACUUCCUUGGGUACGUUGUGCUGGGGCAUUUCGCCUUCAUCCUUCUCUUCUUCUUCCUCUUCGCCUACGGCAUCAAGAAGCUCAACUUCCAGAAACGGUAG
rnacentral:rRNA from 1 species